rnacentral:lncRNA from 1 species
UACAGAUCAUAAAUAUUAUUUUUGAUGGGAAUUUCAGCUGGGCAUGAGUAGAAGAGUUGUCAGUAACAAAAGUCUUUCAAUCUUCAUUCAGUUCAACUUCCCAGCACUGAGCUCCAGCCUCUGAUAUGAAAUGUUUGGAUCCGGUUCAGAAAAGAUGUCUGUGCCUUUGUCUGAGCAUAAAAAUGAGCCAGGAAGGAACUCACUUCUUUAACGUAGCAAGCACAGGAGCUCUUGCUUAUCACUGCAAAUUUACACUGUCUUCAGUUAACACUUGAUUUAAUGGAAACUCUGAAGCCCAGCCUGAAAGGGCAUGUGACUUGGGUGAAGAAUUCAUGGGAUAUAAUCACUCACAGCUGUGUUGCCCAUGCAAUCCUAGCAGGCUACAUGGACAAGAAGUGCUCAUGUAAGUAGAGCUCUAUUUCUGGACAAGAGAGAUUGGAGCCAAUGCUUCUACAGGACAUGGAGCUGCAAGAAACUCAGGCAAGAACUGGGGGUAUGGAGAGGUGUGCAUAUGUUCCUGAAAAAGAUGGUAUGAAUGUACUUAAAUAAAUAUCGAUUUUUACAGGAAUAAAUGUAGAUUUUUGUGUCAAAUAAAUAAAUGUGGAUUUUGUGCAUAACUAAAUUUAGAUUGUUGUUUGAUAUGAAAGAAUAAGAUAUCCCCUGAAAAAUAAGCC